CGGCGCACGGGUGCGUAACGCGUAUGCAAUCUACCUUUUGCAGAGGGAUAGCCCAGAGAAAUUUGGAUUAAUACCUCAUAGUAUCUAUGAUAUCGCCUGAUAUUUAGAUUAAAGUCACAACGGCAAAAGAUGAGCAUGCGUCCCAUUAGCUAGUUGGUAAGGUAACGGCUUACCAAGGCGACGAUGGGUAGGGGUCCUGAGAGGGAGAUCCCCCACACUGGUACUGAGACACGGACCAGACUCCUACGGGAGGCAGCAGUGAGGAAUAUUGGACAAUGGGCGCAAGCCUGAUCCAGCCAUGCCGCGUGCAGGAAGACGGUCCUAUGGAUUGUAAACUGCUUUUGUACAGGAAGAAACCCUUUCACGAGUGAAAGAUUGACGGUACUGUAAGAAUAAGGAUCGGCUAACUCCGUGCCAGCAGCCGCGGUAAUACGGAGGAUCCAAGCGUUAUCCGGAAUCAUUGGGUUUAAAGGGUCCGUAGGCGGCCAUGUAAGUCAGUGGUGAAAUCCCAUCGCUCAACGGUGGAACGGCCAUUGAUAC
rnacentral:rRNA from 1 species